rnacentral:rRNA from 1 species
UACGUAGGGUGCAAGCGUUGUCCGGAAUUAUUGGGCGUAAAGGGCUCGUAGGCGGUCCAUCGCGUCGGGAGUGAAAAGCUGGGGCUCAACCCCAGUCCUGCUUCCGAUACGGGUGGACUAGAGGUAUGCAGGGGAGAACGGAAUUCCUGGUGUAGCGGUGAAAUGCGCAGAUAUCUGGAGGAACACCGGUGGCGAAGGCGGCAUCCUGGACCGACACUGACGCUGAGGAGCGAAAGCCAGGGGAGCAAACGGG